rnacentral:rRNA from 1 species
AUGAGACGGUGCGCGACGCGUGCCACGGCGACGGACGGCUGUGGUACACGCGAACUCAGUUCACCUAAAGCGAAGGCCGGUACGGCGCGUGUCCCCAGUGUUGACUACAAGCAUCUCCGACGACGUGCCGUCGGCGGCUGCCGUGGCUCUCGUCGUGCACGAAGCAGAGUACCUCCCCGCAGCCAGGUCUUCGUGUCGUUCCGGAUGCUGAGCUGGCAUGGCCUGGAGCUCAGCGCCGGCGUCGCCAGGGAAAUCAUGGAACAGCGGUGGCGCGUCGACAAGGACAAGCAACUCGGGGGCCACCUGCGGUGGCACUGCGAGGAGAUAGCACUCAACGGUGGCGGUGGCCUGACAUUGCACGCCAAGUGCUCGAUUAAAUGUCUACUGCAACGAGAGUGGGGAUAUAAUGAAGAAGAUGACGAGGUGGAUGUCAAUUUAGCCAGCUCUGGUCAAAACCAUGUUGAGUCGGCAUGGAAACUGCUUUAA